GAAUGUCUGUAAAAUCCCAUGCUUCCAUACUUGCAAAAUCACAGCAGCAAAAAGCCAACAGAUAAGUCUUAAAACUUCUCCUUACACACCCAAACACUCAUAGGCAAAUGGGUUUCCAUUUCACUGUUAGCAAGGGUGCUCCUUUGGUCCUAACUGAGGAGCAGCUGAAGAAAAUUUUCAAGGAAGCUGACGUGAAUAAUGACAAUUGUCUCAGCUGGGACGAGGUCAGGAAAGUUUUCGAUAAUCUUGGCUCAUACAUACCUGGUGUAAGGGCGCAUUUGGGGAUAUGGCAUGCUGAUGCCAAUGGAGAUGGAAAAGUCGACUUGAAUACGGAGUUGGAUGAUCUUGUCAACUAUGCUCGUGGGCUUGGGUUUACCAUUACCAACAAAAUUGCAAAGCAAGUUACUGCUUAAAGUAGACGGAGUGACCCUGCAUGCAUCAGCCACCUUAACUAUUGUACCCAUCUUACAUAUGUACUUAGAAAUAAAGGGUACCCCUCUUAUAUGUGCAUGUCUUGGCUACUUGUAGUGUUAUAAUAUUAUGGAAAUAACUCUUUUGUUGCUGUGUUAGCUAAUUAGUUACAACAUGCAAAAACAUCAGUUUUAAUUGAAAAAUCAACAGUUCCGUUGCUUUUUUU
rnacentral:misc_RNA from 1 species